rnacentral:rRNA from 1 species
AUUGAACGCUGGCGGCAGGCCUAACACAUGCAAGUCGGACGGUAGCACAGAGGAGCUUGCUCUUCGGGUGACGAGUGGCGGACGGGUGAGUAAUGUCUGGGGAUCUGCCCGAUAGAGGGGGAUAACCACUGGAAACGGUGGCUAAUACCGCAUAACGUCGCAAGACCAAAGAGGGGGACCUUCGGGCCUCUCACUAUCGGAUGAACCCAGAUGGGAUUAGCUAGUAGGCGGGGUAACGGCACACCUAGGGGACGAUCCCUAGCUGGUCGGAGAGGAUGCCCAGCCACACUGGAACUGAGACACGGUCCAGACUCCUACGGGAGGCAGCAGUGGGGAAUAUUGCACAAUGGGCGCAAGCCUGAUGCAGCCAUGCCGCGUGUAUGAAGAAGGCCUUCGGGUUGUAAAGUACUUUCAGCGGGGAGGAAGGCGAUGUGGUUAAUAACCGCGUCGAUUGACGUUACCCGCAGAAGAAGUACCGGCUAACUCCGUGCCAGCCGCCGCCGUAA